ACCCCAGAGGCUUCCGACACAGUUCCUGCAGGGGAACGUCCUCCUGGCAGGGAGGCCCCACGCCCCACGCCCCACGGAGCUGUGACAGAGUGCGUGAGAAUCGGGAAUGGGAAAUUUUAGUUUCAUGGCGUCAUGAGCAGAAGAGAUGCUGCACAAAGGGAGGAUCCACAUCCUGUGUGGGACGGAGCAGGGUGAGUGGACAGCAAGAAGACCCUGAGCUCCCUGGAUCCUGACAACACGGUGUGUGAGGUCAGACAGGCGUGGACCCACGGCUAGGGGUGGGAGUCGGCAAGAAGCAGCCCGCCACCUGCAGUGGCAUCUGAUUUUCAGAGCCAAAGACACAAGGUGGAAAAUGAAUUGCAAUGUCCUAGAUGCCAAAGUUUCUAGUUAUGAAUCCCUGUGCCAACCAGGAGAAAAAGAAAGCAGAAGCUACUGGAGAACAAUAGCCAAGAGACGACCUAGAUGGUCACUUCAUAAGAAAUGUAUGAGAUAUCAUCACCCCAAAGAGGAGAAGUCAUCAUCCCAAAUUAUUAAUGAAGAAAUUAAAAUUCAAAGGGUUUUUUUCUAACUUAUUCAUUUCGUAAAUUUUUUUAGCACAUGAUACUGUCAUAAGCUUUGAGCAUAGAGAGCUGAGCAAUACAGAUCUAUGAUUGCUUCUCUCAUGUAAAUAGCAUUCUAGCGAAGGAUUCAUUUAGUAAGUAAACACAAAAAGAAAUACAAUUAUUCUCAAUGGCAAUAUGUGUUAAAAAAACAAAAAACAAGCAAUAUAUGAUAGCAAGUAACUUUGGAAUAAUUGCAAGGAAAAACUUUUAAAGAGCUGACAUAUCACUGAGACCUGAAGAAUGACAAACCAUCUACCACUCAAACUAUGCAAGAAGAUUGUUAAUGGAAGCUGAAGAAGUGUAUGCAAAGGUUCUGUGACAUAAGAGAGGUUAGUACAUUCAGGAGAUAGACACUAAGGAGUCAUGAAGGUCAAACUCAGGUCCUUUCCAACUAUGCCUCCUAGCUUUAUCAUAUUUUUAUUUCACUUAUAGUUCACUCUGAACCAAAUGAUGUAUAAUUCAAAAAUACCCCAAAGGAGAGAUUACAAGAAAUCUUGCUUAUACUUGGAGUUCACCAGUGAUUACCACCAAGGGUCAUGUUAAUGAUCAAUUUCUGACCUGACUAGCUAGCAAAGAGGAUAAACCAAUUUUAAUGGAAAAUCACAAUCAGAUUUUGUAGUCAGAGGGCUACAGUUAAUGAGAUUGUCUAGAAUCCAGAAAAAUAAGAUAGUGUAGUAACCAAGAGCAUGACCCUUAAAAGUAGAGGCCAAGCUUUGAAUGCCACUUCUGCUAUUUGCCGGCAAUAUAAUCUUAGGAAAGUCACAGAGCCUCACUGAGCCUUAGUUUUAUUUUACACAAAAUAGACCUGUACUACUCUUAAGCAGGAUUGAAGUAGGGGUUAAAUGAGAGAAGAGACUUGGGAGGCUAAGGUGGUGGAAUAGAAGCAGCCUGCGUGGACGCUACUCCCAUGGCGAUGAGAGUAAGCAGUGAAUAGGCCGGGCGCGGUGGCUCACACUUAUAAUCCUAGCAGUCUGGGAGGCCAAGGUGGGAGGGUUGCUGAAG